AUGAACGCUGGCGGCGUGCCUAAUACAUGCAAGUCGAGCGAACAGACGAGGAGCUUGCUCCUCUGACGUUAGCGGCGGACGGGUGAGUAACACGUGGAUAACCUACCUAUAAGACUGGGAUAACUUCGGGAAACCGGAGCUAAUACCGGAUAAUAUAUUUAACCGCAUGGUUCAAUAGUGAAAGACGGUUUUGCUGUCACUUAUAGAUGGAUCCGCGCCGCAUUAGCUAGUUGGUAAGGUAACGGCUUACCAAGGCAACGAUGCGUAGCCGACCUGAGAGGGUGAUCGGCCACACGGGAACUGAGACACGGUCCAGACUCCUACGGGAGGCAGCAGUAGGGAAUCUUCCGCAAUGGGCGAAAGCCUGACGGAGCAACGCCGCGUGAGUGAUGAAGGUCUUCGGAUCGUGAAACUCUGUUAUUAGGGAAGAACAAAUGUGUAAGUAACUAUGCACGUCUUGACGGUACCUAAUCAGAAAGCCACGGCUAACUACGUG
rnacentral:rRNA from 1 species